rnacentral:lncRNA from 1 species
UUAAAUGCAUUUAUGUUCUCUUGUAGAAAUAAAUGGUGUUAUUUUUUGGUGAUAUAUAUUCACUUGUUGUCAUGUUGAAAGAGAUUACUUGUCGGCUAUUAUUCAUCAUUAUUUGCAUUCCGUUAUACGGUUUGUUUCGUUUAUCUAUUAUCUACACACUUGGCGGCAAAAAAUACGAGAAGUCCGUGCAUGUAUUUGCCACGCCCUUGAACCAGUUUGCUAGCUGAAAUCGUCCGAACAACAUCGAUAGAAAAAUUGCUGUAUAAAGUUACCUUGUAGUAUGAAUUUAAGCUGUUACGUUAGUUGGAUGGAAUUCUAGAGAAAGAAUGGUUACUGGGACACGAAAGGAAGAUAAGUUUUAUAUAUUUUUGUUAUUGUCGUGCAUAACAAAGCUUGAUUUAGAACAAUAUUCAGCUUAUAAUAAACAUUCAUUCAAAUUCUCCAGCUCUGUGCACAUGUAUAUUAGUUAAUAGCUGGACAAUUAUCAUGUCACAAAAGCUUGAUUUAAGGUAAUUUGAGAUAACUGAAAGUACGGACAAUGAUGAUAAUAUUGAUAAAAUCGGUAUCAAAAUGUUCAGUUUUGUCAGUGUGAUGUGGGGUGGUGACAGGUAUUGUAGAUAAUUAUGACGAUAUGCAAUGAUAUGUAUCUAGUAUGAUAAUGUUAUUAUGGUGUUGAUGAUGCUGAUGAUGAUGACGGUAUGGUGGAUAUUAUGAUAUUAUGACGAUAUGACAAUAAUGUUGUUCAUAAUGAUGAUGUUUAUGCUAUUAUGAUAAUAUGGUGAUAUUCAGUUUGUGUCUAAAUGAUCAUAACGAUAUGAUGAUGAUGAUGGUAAGAUGAUGAUUUGGUGACAAUAUGGCGUUGAUAGCGAUUAAAUUACGAUCAUAAAUAUGAAAUAGUUAUGAUUAAUGAUGAUGAUAAUGAUAUAACAUGAUGAUGAUAUGACGAUACAAUAAUGCUGAGAGGAAAAUGAUUACCAUGAUGGUACGUUAUAAGAAUAACAUGAUAUGAUAUUACACGAUAAUAUGUUUUGAUUACGAUGAUGAUAUGGUACAACGAAUCAGAUAUGAUCUUUGUGAUGGCAUGAUAAUGAUGGCAAUAAUGAUUGUGAUAUUACGAAAUGACAAUGAUAUGAAAUAAUGUUGGUACAUUAUAGUACUUUAAGGACGAUGGUGAUGUCGUUGAUGGUAAAGAUGACAAUGGUGAUAAUAUUCUGACGAUGAUAAGACAAUAAUGGCGAUGAUGAUGUCGUUGAUGAUGUUGACAAUUACUUAUCUCAAUAAUUAUGAAAAUGUUCCACAUUACUAAUUCGUUUUAAUAUAUUGUAAUAAUUAAGUAUUUCAGUUUGCUAACAAUACUCCAACAUUAGGGGGAAACAUCAGGUAAAAUGAAUCAAAGGUAAAAGUACAAGAGAACAUGUCGUCUAGUUUCAGCUACAAAUAUAAAGGUAACGGUUAUGGUAAAACAGAAUACAGAUUGAACGUCAUUAUAAAUGGUAAAAAAGUAUCUUGUUUACGUCUUAAAUUAGCGAAGGUGAGUUAUUUCUUUUAUUUACCCUAAUGUAAUGCAGCGUUCUGUGUUUUGAUUGGACGAAUUUUAUUUCAUAAAAUAUUUAGUGGCCCUCAAUACACAUGUGUCCGUAUGUGCAUUUCGGUAUGGCAUAUAGCAAUUUAUGAACUGAGGUGAACAUUGAGCAAUUCGCCUCACUUUCUCAUCGGCUGUGAAUGGAGAAAUCUCUGCCAUUUGCCAGUUUCUUCAUGGUCAGUCUAUAAAAUAGGCUUCUGCCACUUUGCGUUGCCUGUAAGUUGCUAUGCCAUUUAGCUAGUGAUUGUUCUUGUGUUCAUAUUCAUUUCUUAAAAUUUAAACAUGCUAUAUGCCAUGAUAUCAAUGAAAUAAAGUCGCGGCCAUUUCCCAUCUACUUUGUGUUUGUUGUUUGUGCAUGCUAAUAAGAAUAGUUAAGAAUAUUUGUACUGACGUCGUAAAACGACAUAGAUAUAGCGAACCUCAUGAAAUAUCUGUAUGUUCUACCUUGAUCUCAACCGAUCUUAAGCUGGCCCUUGCAUCAUGAAUUAGACAGCCACCUGCCUUUGGCAACUCAUGGGUUCAUUCCUUUGUGGGUUGCUUAACACAGGUCUGGCUGUAUACUUUGUAACAGAGAGGUCGUGAUGUUGCACUUGGGCGGAUCCGCAUACGUGUAGGUUCAAAGAACAUCUCAAGCGACAAAAAUCAGACAAGAAAAAAUAUUCACAAAUAAGUUUUGUGUAAGCGUUAAAGUUCUGACCAGGUUAAGGUUACCUGAAAGUAUUUGGCAUACGCUGAAUAUUACGUAUACUUGUACAAAUUUAAUUCACAUUUUGUAUGCACAUGUGCAUGAUAUCGCUAUCUCUCUGUUGCUGGUCUUGCUGCCUUCUAUUCAUAAUCGGUUCUACCUGCGCCAAUAAAAUAAAUGCAUUUAUGUUCUCUUGUAGAAAUAAAUGGUGUUAUUUUUUGGUGAUAUAUAUUCACUUGUUGUCAUGUUGAAAGAGAUUACUUGUCGGCUAUUAUUCAUCAUUAUUUGCAUUCCGUUAUACGGUUUGUUUCGUUUAUCUAUUAUCUACACACUUGGCGGCAAAAAAUACGAGAAGUCCGUGCAUGUAUUUGCCACGCCCUUGAACCAGUUUGCUAGCUGAAAUCGUCCGAACAACAUCGAUAGAAAAAUUCCCUCCCACCCUUCCCC